UUAUAGAGGUCGAGUAAAGGUCACAGUUAUCAGCGCGAAUAAUUAUUUAACUUAUACAAAGACAGUUUCCACAUUAUUUUGAUUCAGUUUGUUGAUUAUGACUUGGUUUGAAAAUUAGGCACUGCAAUACAGUUUGAUUUAAAGCAUAAUGUAUGCGCAGUGUUUAUUAGAAAGCUAAUCGAUUGGAGAUUCGUUUAUACAGGCUAAUGUAAUGGCAGCGGGUGCAUAUUCUGCUCAGUAUAGAGAUUGCAGAAGAGAUACAGAUUUGCACUUAUAUAGUGCUAUAGUACAACCAGUUAAUUACUCGAACGUAUAAUGUUGUAGUGUAGGAAACAGUAUGCACAGCCAGAUCCCAGAAUAUUUUUUAAAAAGAUAAUGACCAGAUUAACUAUUUUAGGGAUGUUCAUCGUGGGAUGGAUAUUGGUUUGGACACUGGGCAAAACGUCGUGAGUUUUCUUUGACAUGUUUUUCCAUGAAAACAUCUCCCCAGAAGCAGAGGCAGAAGCUCGGUCUAAAGCAACAACCCCUCAGUAGUAUAACAUUCAAAAUGUUGU